rnacentral:rRNA from 1 species
GACGAACGCUGGCGGCGUGCUUAACACAUGCAAGUCGAACGGAAAGGCCCUGCUUUUGUGGGGUGCUCGAGUGGCGAACGGGUGAGUAACACGUGAGUAACCUGCCCUUGACUUUGGGAUAACUUCAGGAAACUGGGGCUAAUACCGGAUAGGAGCUCCUGCUGCAUGGUGGGGGUUGGAAAGUUUCGGCGGUUGGGGAUGGACUCGCGGCUUAUCAGCUUGUUGGUGGGGUAGUGGCUUACCAAGGCGUUGACGGGUAGCCGGCCUGAGAGGGUGACCGGCCAAAGGGGGACUGAGAAACGGCCCAGAACCCUACGGGAGGAAGGAGUGGGGAAUAUUGCACAAUGGGCGGAAGCCUGAUGCAGCAACGCCGGGGGGGGGAUGACGGCCUUCGGGUUGUAAACCGCUUUCGCCUGUGACGAAGGGGGAGUGACGGUAAUGGGUAAAGAAGCACCGGCUAACUACGU